GGACACAGGUGUGACUGACACAGGUGUGAGGGACACAGGUGUGCUCAGGUGUGCUCAGGUGUGACUGACACAAAUGUGUGAGUGACACAGGUGUGACUGGUUCAGGUGUGUUCAGGUGUGCUCAGGUGUGACUGACACAAAUGUGUGAGUGACACAGGUGUGAGUGACACAGGUGUGCUCAGGUGUGCCCACGUGUGAGUGUGCUCAGGCGUACACAGGUGUGACUGGUUCAGGUGUGUUCAGGUGUGCUCAGGUGUGUAGGGAUCCGAUGGAUGAUGCUGGUGGAGCUCAGGUGUGCACAUGGUCGGGUGUGCAGGGAUCCAGGUGUGCCCAGGUGCCAGGAGAUGAUCCUACGGACAGCCGGUGUCCCUGGAUCCAGGUGUGCAGGGAUCCAGGUGUGCCCAGGUGUGCAGGGAUCCAGGUGUGCAGGUGUUCAGGUGCACAGGUAUGCAGAAAUCCAGGAGUGCAGAUGUUCAAGUGUGAAGGUAUCCAGGAUUGCCCAGGUGUGCAGGAAUCCAGGUGUGCAGGGAUUCAUGUGUCCCCAGGUGUGCAGGUGUUCAGGUGUGCAGGGAUCCAGGUGUGCCCAGGUGUGCCCAGAUAUUCAGGGAUCUAUGGGAUGGUCCUGAUGGAUCUCAGGUGUGCAGGGAUCCAGGUGAGCAGGGAUCCAGGUGUGCCCAGGUGUGCAGGCUGCGGGAGAUGACCCCAUGCACCUCAGGAGACGAUGCUGGUGGAUCUCAGGUGUGCCAGGUGUCUCCAGGUGUGCCCAGGUGUGCAGGGAUCCAGGUGUGCAGAUUUCAGGUGUGCCCAGGUGUGCAGGUGUUCAGGUGAGCAGGGAUCCAGGUGUGCCCAGGUGUGCAGGCUGCGGGAGAUGACCCCAUGCACCUCAGGAGACGAUGCUGGUGGAUCUCAGGUGUGCCCAGGUGUGCCCAGGUGUGCCCAGGUGUGCAGGGAUCCAGGUGUGCCCAGGUGUGCAGGGAUCCAGGUGUGCCCAGGUGUGCAGGCUGCAGGAGAUGACCCCAUGCACCUCAGGAGACGAUGCUGGUGGAUCUCAGGUGUGCCAGGUGUGCCCAGGUGUGCCCAGGUGUCCCCUGUGGCAGGUAGAGGGGUAUGAGGAGGAGAUCCAGGUGUGCCAGGUGUCCCCAGGUGCACCAGGUGCCCCCAGCUUUCCCAGGUGCUGUAGCUGUGCCCAGGUGUCGCCAGGUACCGUAGGUGUGCCCAGGUGUGACAGGUGUGCCCGUAGCGGGGUUGUAGCUGUGCCCAGGUGUG